rnacentral:rRNA from 1 species
UACGUAGGGUGCAAGCGUUGUCCGGAAUUAUUGGGCGUAAAGAGCUCGUAGGCGGUUUGUCGCGUCGGCUGUGAAAGCCCGGAGCCUCGAACUCCGGGUCUGCAGUCGAUACGGGCAGACUUGAGUGGUUGCAGGGGAGACUGGAAUUCCUGGUGGUAGCGGUGAAAAUGCGGCAGAGUAUCAAGGAGGAACACCCGGUGGCGAAG